GCUUGUGUGUCAGUAUUUUAUUGGUCAAUUGACCAACUUACACCAAAAUAAACUUCAUACUAACCACUUCUGUUGGGCCAUAAUACUUUAGACAUGUUGGGUAGGUCUUGAAAGUAUUUGGCUGGUUCAUUGGGCCGACCUGGUGAGUGGAUAAUAUCUUUAUUUGGGGCCUAUGGAGUAUUGGGCUGGAGCAGUGGGCCGAUCCAUUGGAUAAGUAUAGUUCCACUUGGGCUUUGACUAGUGAUGAUUAUGGGGAUAGAACUUUGACUGUCAUCUCUGCCUUAUAUUUAAUGAGGAUUGGACAGGGCUUAGUCGGCUAAAGACUGUGGGCCCGGGAAGUCAGUUGCAUACAGGACAAACCAGACUUUGGAGUAUACAAAAGCAAGGAUCACACGCAAUCUAAAGGUAACAAACAAAUCACUGAACUAAACUAUUAUUCUUUCUCAAGCACUAGACAUAUUAUUUUCCUCCAUUGUUAACCUUGUGAUCGCCGAUACUGACUCUUACACCGGAGCUAUCCUCCGACGGUCAAGCCGUCAAGCUUUUGGUGUUGACUUGUUGAACUGUGCAGGAUAUCGGACACGUCUUGGUGAUUGGGACGUGAGAAAAGAUCUUGGCGUUAACAUUGACGCUAGAAGGAGGGCUUAGUUCUAGUGUCCUGAAUAUUUUCAAUCACAAGUUGUAGGGGUGAUAACCGAGCCAAGUAGUUCGGUAUUCGACUCGAGAUCGGCUCGAAAAUAUGAUCCAAAACUCGAAUUCGAAGUUGAUCCGAGUCGAAUCUGAUCCAUACUCGUUUUCUGUUUAAUGAUACACGAGUCGAACUCGAGCAGACCAGUGUUCGCUCAUAUUAAGGUUCGAGUAUUUCAUUUUUUCUCAAACCAUACUCGAUACCUGCUUGAUGGAUCAUAUUCGAAUAUUGGUCUGAUCCAUACUAGUAUGCUAAAUAUGUGAUAUUUGUAUCAAUCUUUAUAAUUUAUAAAGUGUUGUAUGAAAUUGUGUAAACUUGUA
rnacentral:lncRNA from 1 species